AUGGUCGCUUCGCCCCGGGACCUCUGGAACCAUUGGUCCAUCCAGAUCCUGGUGCUCUUCAGCCUCGGGUGGCAGAUCGCCCUCUUCCUCUUUGCCGGGAUCCGCAGGCGUGGAGGCCACCCUGUGCAGCGGUUCCUGCUCUGGGUGGCCUAUCAGCUGUCGGACUACACCGCCACAUACGCCCUCGGCCACCUCUCCCUUACGGGCGCGCUGCGCGAGCACGCCAUCGUCGCGUUCUGGGCGCCGUUCCUCCUGCUGCACCUCGGAGGCCCGGACAACAUCACCGCCUACUCUCUGGAGGACAACAAGCUCUGGAAGCGCCACUUGCUGAGUGCCAUCCUUCAGGUGUCCGGAGCCGUAUAUGUCCUCUACGAGCAUAUCGCGGAGGAAGGGCUCCGGCUUGCCUCCGUCUUGAUGUUCGCCGUCGGUGCUGUCAAGUACGCGGAGAGGACGGUGGCGCUCAUGCGCGGCAACCUGGACAGCAUCCGGGGCUCCGUCAAGAAGCAACCAGCUGCCAUGCAUGGACAUUUCCACCCUCAAGAUACAGUAGAGAAGUAUGGCGAGUUCGAUGAGGAAUCCCUUGUGCGACGAGCUCACUCGCUGUUCUACAUAUGCAAGCGUGCCAUAGUUGAUUAUCCUGUGAUGAGAGAUGAUGAACAUGGCCAAGACAGCACCGAGAUGAUACUCGAGGUCAGCUUAUGGCAAUUGAUGGAGACCGAGCUCUCCCUCAUGUAUGACAUGCUAUACACCAAGGCGGCUGUCAUCCACACCUGCUUCGGCUACUUGGUACGCCUCAUCUCGCCAUUCGCCAUUGUCGCCUCACUGCUACUCUUCAUCUUCAUUGACAAGGAGACGCACCGUAGAGUUGAUGUUAAUAUCACCUACAUAUUGUAUGGUGGUGCCUUGUUCAUGGAGAUGACAUCGCUGCUGAACGCCCUAGGCUCCUCCUGGACAUUUGCCUUCCUGAGCACCACAAGAUGGGACUGGCUUCGAUACGCAGCACUGUGCAAUAAAAGAUGGGACCGGCUUAGGCGUGUGGUUGCAUAUCUUCACCAUCUUGUCAGGGUAGGAGGAGGUAGCCGGUACAGAUCAAGGAGGUGGUCACAUACCAUGGGUCAGUACAACAUGCUGCACUAUUGCACCGGUUCUAACAGUGCACGCACUAGGCCUCUGCUUGGCAGUUUGGCCAAGAUAGCGGGAUCAGGACUAAAUGAGCUAUGGAACAGAGAGCAUUACUCAUGGGAAGCUGACAUGCCGGGCCAUCUCAAGGAUCGUAUCUUUGAAUAUAUGCAACAUAUACACGAUGAGGAUUUUGUGAACUCACUGGGCAUGCUCAAGAAUAAGUGGGGUGAGGAAACACUGCAUAGCAGGGGGUUGUUCAACUCUCGUCUCACAAAUUCCCUCGGCGUUGAGUUCCAGGAGUGCAUAAUCAUCUGGCACAUCGCCACCGAAGUUUUCCUCGCCAAGAGCGAGCAAGCCAAAGAAAAGAAGACACGGGAUGAUGUGAAGGCGGUCAAGGUGAUAUCCAACUACAUGAUGUUCCUUCUCGUGGAGCAGCCGGACAUGCUGCCAGGCCUCCCCCAAAACAGGUUGUACCAACUAACCUGUGAAAGUCUGGUCAAGACUUGGGGAUCAACUGAUAGGCGUCAAGACAUGAACCUGUGUGCUUCGCUCAAGAAUCUGUUCCGUCUGCAUGAUGACCCCAAGUCUGAUUUAAGGGUCAGUGACAGAGAGGAGCUUGCAAAAGAAAUAUACAAGUAUGAGGGUAAAGGCUUCACCUACGAGGCUCCUCGUCUCUCCUAUGUAACUGACCUUGCAAAGGAACUGCUAGCAAUGGAAAAAGAUGACAAGGUUAAAUCCGUACCGGAACUUGUCCUUAAGGUGUGGACGGAUAUUCUUGUCUACGCUGGUAACAAGUGCAGCAGGAGGUUCCAUGCCGAGAAGCUCAACAGUGGCGGUGAGUUGACAACCAUCCUGUGGCUUAUGGCAGAACACUUCUACCAAGUUUAUGCGACGGAACUGAUCAAAAGUAACAAAAUGGAAAAAUGA
rnacentral:rRNA from 1 species